CAACCCUCAAGCUCUGCUUGGUCUUGGGCCUGGCCGUGAUGGCCGGCCUUAAAAUUAGUGGCGGUGCCGUCGUAGGCUCCAAGCGUAGUACAUCUCUCGCUCCGGAAGCCCGGUGGUGCCUGCCAGACAACCCCUAAUUGUCUCUUAC
rnacentral:misc_RNA from 1 species